rnacentral:lncRNA from 1 species
UGGUUUAAUUCUUGUUUAGCAUAUAAAAGUUUUGAAAGUAUAUUGGUAUUGUCAGUUACAUGCUGUACUAAGUAUUAAAGCUGAACUUUCCUGUUUCUCCAUUAUUAGAUAGAUUAUCCAUUCACUGGGAUUUAGGUCUCAUUCCCCCUCACUUUUUUUGUUACAGACUUGGAGCAUCAUAGCCAGAUAUAGAAGUAAAGCAUCAGCAUUUUCAUUAGCUUGCAUACUAGAAGAGGUUGGUCGUGACAGCUGGGGGG